UGGGGAAUAUUGCACAAUGGGCGAAAGCCUGAUGCAGCGACGCCGCGUGAGGGAUGACGGCCUUCGGGUUGUAAACCUCUUUCAGUAGGGACGAAGCGCAAGUGACGGUACCUGCAGAAGAAGCACCGGCUAACUACGUGCCAGCAGCCGCGGUAAUACGUAGGGUGCGAGCGUUGUCCGGAAUUACUGGGCGUAAAGAGCUCGUAGGCGGUUUGUCACGUCGUCUGUGAAAUCCUAGGGGUUCACCCUGGACGUGCAGGCGAUACGGGCUGACUUGAGUACUACAGGGGAGACUGGAAUUUCUGGUGUAGCGGUGGAAUGCACAGAUAUCAGGAAGAACACCGAUGGCGAAGGCAGGUCUCUGGGUAGUAACUGACGCUGAGGAGCGAAAGCAUGGGUAGCGAACAGG
rnacentral:rRNA from 1 species